GGCACGGAUUCAUUCGUUCGUACACUCAAGACUGGUUGCUUCUUUGUUUCUAAAACUAGUUUCUUGCGCUUCGAUGUCUCGCGUUAUUUAACUUGGGGCGAAGUUACGUGUUUGCAAGCGGACAUGUAAGCCCGGCAGUUGGGUUUCGGUCGUGAGCCAUUCGGAACAGGUCUGCAUCGAAACGGGAGCUGGAUUUUGCUGCGGCUGACAACGGCAAUAACGACAUGCAGUAAUGAGGACGGCACCAGUAUAAAGCAACACACUCCACGCACUAAACAGAAGCUGCUGCCUGCUACAACAAGGUCAUUGUGUGGACAUUGGCUACUACUACAAGAGUCUAUGCCAAGCACAUCUUGGUCAUCACAGGAGCUCCUAUCUGCGCCAACAGGAAGGGGCUGGAGCCGAAUUUGCAAGGCUUUUACACCAAGAACAAAGAAGCACAUGCAGAAGAAUAUGAAUGAGAUAUCAAGUCUGCAGAGGACUGUGUCAAGACUGAAAAGAGCUUCAGCCACCAUUCCACCAGCACGGACAUUUGGCUGAGUCAUCCAGGUAACUCAAAAAGGAUUUUC